rnacentral:rRNA from 1 species
UUAGAUUCUCGGCGUCAGGCUGAGUAACACGUGGAUAAUCUACCUUAAGGCGGGGGAUAACUUCGGGGAACUGAAGAUAAUACCCCAUAGGCAAUGGAUACUGGAAUGUUCCUUUGCUGAAAGUUCCGACGCCUUAGGAUGAGUCCGCGGCGGAUUAGGUUGUUGGUAGGGUAAUGGCCUACCAAGCCAUCGAUCCGUAGGGGCCGUGAGAGCGGUAGCCCCCAGACGGGAACUGAGACAAGGUCCCGAGCCCUACGGGGUGCAGCAGGCGCGAAACCUCCACAAUGCCCGCCAGGGUGAUGGGGGAACUCCGAGUGCAGUUGGGUUUAACCAACUGCUUUUCUGAAUUGUAAAAAGUUUCAGGAAUAAAGACUGGGUAAGACCGGUGCCAGCCGCCGCGGUAACACCGGCAGUCUGAGUGGUGACCGCUUUUAUUGGGCCUAAAGCGUUCGUAGCCGGACCUGUAGGUCUCUAGGUAAAUCUGGCGGCUUAACCGUCGGACUUCUAGAGAUACCUUAGGUCUUGGGGCUGGGAGGGGUUGCGAGUACUCCAGGGGUAAAGGUGAAAUUUUCU